rnacentral:rRNA from 1 species
AACGAACGCUGGCGGCAUGCCUAACACAUGCAAGUCGAACGAGAUCUUCGGGUCUAGUGGCGCACGGGUGCGUAACGCGUGGGAAUCUGCCCUUUGGUUCGGAAUAACAGUUGGGAACGACUGCUAAUACCGGAUGAUGACGAAAGUCCAAAGAUUUAUCGCCAGAGGAUGAGCCCGCGUAGGAUUAGCUAGUUGGUGUGGUAAAGGCGCACCAAGGCGACGAUCCUUAGCUGGUCUGAGAGGAUGAUCAGCCACACUGGGACUGAGACACGGACCAGACUCCUACGGGCGGCAGCAGUGGGGAAUAUUGGACAAUGGGCGAAGGCCUGAUCCAGCAAUGCCGCGUGAGUGAUGAAGGCCUUAGGGUUGUAAAGCUCUUUUACCCGGGAUGAUAAUGACAGUACCGGGAGAAUAAGCUCCGGCUAACUCCGUGCCAGCCGCCGCCGUAA